rnacentral:tRNA from 1 species
UUGCAUUAGAAUUAGAAUCUAACCACACUAAAAUUACCCCCUCUAUUAUACUAAUAACAAUU